CCCUUAGAUGUUCUGGGCUGCACCCGUGCUACACUGGCAGGUUCAGCGAGCUUCAUGCCCUGAUCUGAAAGGAAUGGGAAAUCUUUUCAAAACCUGCCGUGCUUGGGAUAGAUGUUUGCAAUUAUUCAUCUUCAACGAGGAUUGCCUUGUAAGCGCACGUCAUCAGCGUGCAUUGAAUACGACCCUGUAUUCUGUACACACCGCCCGUCGCUCCUACCGAUUGAAGUUUUCGGUGAGUUGACAGGAGGAUUUUUUUGAAACUGGUUCGCCAGUGGAUUUUAGAUCCAAAUGCCGACGAAUCGAUGGCUUUAGAGGAAGGAGAAGUCGUAACA
rnacentral:rRNA from 1 species